rnacentral:tRNA from 1 species
AGGGUUAUAGUUAAUUAUAACAUUUGGAUUGCAUACAAAAAGUAUUGAAUAAUCAAUUAACCUUA